rnacentral:rRNA from 1 species
AAUUUGGGACAAGGGGGGCAACGCUGUUCCAGCCAGCCCGCGUGUGCGAUGAAUGCCNNNGGGUUNUAAAGAACUUUUGGCAGNGAANAAAAGGCCCUGGCGGAUACCCGGAGCUGCUGACGGUACCUCUAGAAUAAGCACCGGCUAACUACGUGUCAGCAGCCGCGGUAAUACGUAGGGUGCAAGAGUUAAUCGGAAUUACUGGGCGUAAAGCGUGCGCAGGCGGUUUGGCAAGAAGGAUGUGAAAUCCCAGGGCUCAACUUUGGAACUGCAUUUUUAACUGCAGAGCUAGAGUAUGUCAGAGGGGGGUAGAAUUCCACGUGUAGCAGUGAAAUGCGUAGAUAUGUGGAGGAAUACCGAUGGCGAAGGCAGCCCCCUGGGAUAAUACUGACGCUCAGACACGAAAGCGUGGGGAGCAAACA